rnacentral:rRNA from 1 species
CCCGGCCAUUACGACCCUAUGGGCGAUUGAUUAGCGGCGCGAAUCGCCCUUAGAGUUUGAUCCUGGCUCAGGAUGAACGCUGGCGGCGUGCUUAACACAUGCAAGUCGAGCGAAGCACUUAUGAAGAUUCUUCNGGAUGAUUCAUUUGUGACUGAGCGGCGGACGGGUGAGUAACGCGUGAGUAACCUGCCUCAUACAGGGGAAUAACAGUUAGAAAUGACUGCUAAUGCCGCAUAGGCGCACAGGACCGCAUGGUCCGGUGUGAAAAACUCCGGUGGUAUGAGAUGGACCCGCGUCUGAUUAGCUGGUUGGUGAUGUAACGGCCCACCAAGGCGACAAUCAGUAGCCGGCCUGAGAGGGUGAACGGCCACAUUGGGACUGAGACACGGCCCAAACUCCUACGGGAGGCAGCAGUGGGGAAUAUUGCACAAUGGGGGAAACCCUGAUGCAGCGACGCCGCGUGAGUGAAGAAGUAUUUCGGUAUGUAAAGCUCUAUCAGCAGGGAAGAAAAUGACGGUACCUGACUAAGAAGCCCCGGCUAACUACGUGCCAGCAGCCGCGGUAAUACGUAGGGGGCAAGCGUUAUCCGGACUUACUGGGUGUAAAGGGAGCGUAGACGGCUUUGCAAGUCUGACGUGAAAAUCCGGGGCUCAACCCCGGAACUGCGUUGGAAGCUGUGAGGCUUGAGUGCCAGAGAGGUAAGCGGAAUUCCUAGUGUAGCGGUGAAAUGCGUAGAUAUUAGGAGGAACACCAGUGGCGAAGGCGGCUUACUGGACGGCAACUGACGUUGAGGCUCGAAAGCGUGGGGAGCAACAGGAUUAGAUACCCUGGUAGUCCACGCGGUAAACGAUGAAUACUAGGUGUUGGGGGACAAAGUCCUUCGGUGCCGCCGCAAACGCAUUAAGUAUUCCACCUGGGGAGUACGUUCGCAAGAAUGAAACUCAAAGGAAUUGACGGGGACCCGCACAAGCGGUUGAGCAUGUGGUUUAAUUCGAAGCAACGCGAAGAACCUUACCAAGUCUUGACAUCGAUCUGAAUGGGGAGUAAUGUUCCCAGUCUCUUCGGAGACAGAGAAGACAGGUGGUGCAUGGUUGUCGUCAGCUCGUGUCGUGAGAUGUUGGGUUAAGUCCCGCAACGAGCGCAACCCUUAUCUUCAGUAGCCAGCAUUUCGGAUGGGCACUCUGGAGAGACUGCCAGGGACAACCUGGAGGAAGGUGGGGAUGACGUCAAAUCAUCAUGCCCCUUAUGACUUGGGCUACACACGUGCUACAAUGGCGUAAACAAAGGGAAGCAGCCCUGUGAAGGUGAGCAAAUCCCAAAAAUAACGUCUCAGUUCGGAUUGUAGUCUGCAACUCGACUACAUGAAGCUGGAAUCGCUAGUAAUCGCGAAUCAGAAUGUCGCGGUGAAUACGUUCCCGGGUCUUGAUACACACCGCCCGUC